AAUAGAUACCCGGGUAGUCCACGCCGUAAACGAUGAGUGCUAAGUGUUAGAGGGUUUCCGCCCUUUAGUGCUGCAGCUAACGCAUUAAGCACUCCGCCUGGGGAGUACGGUCGCAAGACUGAAACUCAAAGGAAUUGGCGGGGGCCCGCACAAGCGGUGGAGCAUGUGGUUUAAUUCGAAGCAACGCGAAGAACCUUACCAGGUCUUGACAUCCUCUGACAACUCUAGAGAUAGAGCGUUCCCCUUCGGGGGACAGAGUGACAGGUGGUGCAUGGUUGUCGUCAGCUCGUGUCGUGAGAUGUUGGGUUAAGUCCCGCAACGAGCGCAACCCUUGAUCUUAGUUGCCAGCAUUUAGUUGGGCACUCUAAGGUGACUGCCGGUGACAAACCGGAGGAAGGUGGGGAUGACGUCAAAUCAUCAUGCCCCUUAUGACCUGGGCUACACACGUGCUACAAUGGAUGGUACAAAGGGCUGCAAGACCGCGAGGUCAAGCCAAUCCCAUAAAACCAUUCUCAGUUCGGA
rnacentral:rRNA from 1 species